rnacentral:lncRNA from 1 species
AGAUAGCUUUGCUCUCUCUCUUCAUUUAAUACCUUCCAAGUAGGAAAAUAUGCUGACAUAGAUCUCUUAUAGAGAGCCUAUAGAUAACCAUUGUGGGUGCCCUUAGGAACCGACCGCCCAGGGAUCUUGCAGCGGAAUCGUCCAUGGCGGCGGCGCUUCGAUUUGCGGCGAGGAAGGUCAGCGGUCGCGCCCUUCAACAGGCGACGGCUUUCGUACCGCCGUCGCCGGCGGUUAGAGAGGAACAACGGCGGUUGUUGCCGAGGCUUAUCCCCGGCGCCGGCGGCCGGAUGCCGCUCCUCCGCUCAUUCAGCUCCGCCGGAGCUGCUCCAAACAAUAAAAAGCAUGAUCAUUUGCCUCAAUCAAAACAUAUCGUGGAUGUGGAACUGGAGCUGUCUCGUAUCCCUGCGAGCAUUAGGCCACAAGUCAAGACCUGGUAUGACCGGCAUUUUCCUCACGCAGAGUCUGGUAUCAGCAACAAAGAACCUGCUAGCCUUAGGGCACAAGUCGAGGAGAAGAAAAUCGAGCUGUUCCAUCUGCUAUCGCAGCUGAAAUAUAGUGGUGAGAACUCCAACCUGGAGGACGAAAGGAUACUCAGGCAGCUUCCGCCAUACCGUGAACUUAAGCACCUAGUUAAUGGUUACGGAAUAAAGCUAGUCGUGAAACGGAUUGCAAUAGCUUCUGUUCUGAGCGCCAUUUUCAUAACGGCGAUGGUGAAGAUGUGAAUCCACAAAGUUUGGUAGCUGGAAGCAGGAUGACGCUGCAAUUAUCAAUUCGUAUAAGUCUUUCUAGGGACUCAAGUGCUAG